rnacentral:rRNA from 1 species
UACGUAGGGUGCGAGCGUUGUCCGGAAUUACUGGGCGUAAAGAGCUCGUAGGUGGUUUGUCGCGUUGUUCGUGAAAACUCACAGCUCAACUGUGGGCGUGCGGGCGAUACGGGCAGACUAGAGUACUGCAGGGGAGACUGGAAUUCCUGGUGUAGCGGUGGAAUGCGCAGAUAUCAGGAGGAACACCGGUGGCGAGGGCGGGUCUCUGGGCAGUAACUGACGCUGAGGAGCGAAAGCGUGGGGAGCGAACAGG